rnacentral:rRNA from 1 species
CCUACGGGUGGCAGCAGUGAGGAAUAUUGGUCAAUGGACGAGAGUCUGAACCAGCCAAGUAGCGUGAAGGAUGACUGCCCUAUGGGUUGUAAACUUCUUUUAUAUGGGAAUAAAACGUUCCACGUGUGGGAUUUUGUAUGUACCAUAUGAAUAAGGAUCGGCUAACUCCGUGCCAGCAGCCGCGGUAAUACGGAGGAUCCGAGCGUUAUCCGGAUUUAUUGGGUUUAAAGGGAGCGUAGGUGGAUUGUUAAGUCAGUUGUGAAAGUUUGAGGCUCAACCGUAAAAUUGCAGUUGAAACUGGCAGUCUUGAGUACAGUAGAGGUGGGCGGAAUUCGUGGUGUAGCGGUGAAAUGCUUAGAUAUCACGAAGAACUCAGAUUGCGAAGGCAGUUCACUGGACUGCAACUGACACUGAGGCUCGAAAGUGUGGGUAUCAAACAGGAUUAGAUACCCGUGUAGUC